GACGUGUGUCUUGCGUGGCUGACACGGCUCGAGGUGCCGCGUAUCUAUUGGUCCACGUCAGCGACUGGCCAAUCGGCGGUCGCCACACAUUGAGAAUAGGCGGAGCGUGUCUGAUGAGAGGCCACGUUGCGUGUCGGCCUCGCACUGCGA
ensembl:ncRNA Y38A10A.8 ncRNA